UACGGGGGGGGGCAAGCGUUGUUCGGAAUUACUGGGCGUAAAGGGCUCGUAGGCGGCCAACUAAGUCGGACGUGAAAUCCCUCGGCUUAACCGGGGAACUGCAUCCGAUACUGGAAGGCUCGAGUUUGGGAGAGGGAUGCGGAAUUCCAGGUGUAGCGGUGAAAUGCGUAGAUAUCUGGAGGAACACCGGUGGCGAAGGCGGCAUCCUGGACCAACACUGACGCUGAGGAGCGAAAGCCAGGGGAGCAAACGGG
rnacentral:rRNA from 1 species